UUAAGCGCGCGACCUAUACC
rnacentral:siRNA from 1 species